rnacentral:rRNA from 1 species
UACGGGGGGGGCAAGCGUUGUUCGGAAUUACUGGGCGUAAAGGGCUCGUAGGCGGCCAACUAAGUCAGACGUGAAAUCCCUCGGCUUAACCGGGGAACUGCGUCUGAUACUGGAUGGCUUGAGUUUGGGAGAGGGAUGCGGAAUUCCAGGUGUAGCGGUGAAAUGCGUAGAUAUCUGGAGGAACACCGGUGGUGAAGGCGGCAUCCUGGACCAACACUGACGCUGAGUGAGCGAAAGCCAGGGGAGCAAACGGG